ensembl:lncRNA
AUGUUAUUAUUGUCUUGUGUUUUUGAAGGAAUAUUAGUUAAAAGAUGUAAAAAAUAUGUACCUUAUGAACAGGUUUUUUAUAUAUCAUAUGUUAUGUGUAUAAAAAUAUUUUGCUCACUUAUACUGUAUUAUAUUUAUAUAUUAAAAGUAAGUAUUUUUAUAUUAUUUUUUAAAAGUUGUAUUAUUUUUAUACUAUCAUGUAUUUCCACAGAUAAUAAUUUCUUAAGUAGUAAUUUACAAGAUCAGCAUAACUUAAUUAUGAAAAAAGAAAAUGGAAACAUUUAUAUGAACAAUACUGUAGAUAUUUUAUCACAAUUUUAUAUACUCAAAAAAACAUUAAUUAAUGAAAAUUUAUUUAAAAUUCUAUUUUUUUUAAUUCUUUUUAAUUCACCAAUUGAUACUAAACUUUCAAUUCUACAAUAUGGUGUUCAGACAUAUAAUUGGCCGCAUUCUUUGAUUAAUUAUAUUCCUCUCGUGUCACAAGCAUCCAAAUUAAUAGGAAUAUCAAUUUUUCAACUAUAUACAAAUAAAAAAUGUUACAAGACCUAUGCAAUGAUAAUAAUAUUAUUAAACGUUUUACUGAAAAUAACAAAUUUUAUUUUUUUGUAUUAUAAUAAAAAUUCUUAUAUUAGCCCAUUUUUAUUUUUAUUUAACAUAAUAGUACAGAAUGUUUCCAUAAAAAUUCUAGCUAUGCCUAUAUUAUUGUUAUGUAUACAAAAGGCACCUUUAAAUUUAGAAUCAACUAUUAUUAAUAUAUACAUAUUUUGUUUUAAUUUUUCAAAUUUAAUUAGUAAAAGAUAUUUUAUAUGGAAUGUUAUUUUACAUAUGUCCAAAAAUGUCUUCAUAAUUUUGCUUCUUUCCUUUUUAACUACAUGUGCUAGUUUACUAUAUUAUUUAAAUAUAUCCUUAGAUUCAUUAAACAAUGAUGAUAAUAAUAAUAAUAAUAAUUUAUUAAAUUCACCCUCUUGGAUAACAUCAUCAACAAAGUUACAUACAGAUGAAAAAAAAUAUAUGUAUUCGAAAUUAAAUAUAACGAAUAAUUACUUUAAUACAAAUUUAUUUAACCAACAUAAACAAAUGAAUUUAAAAAAUAAGAAUGUCCAUUUUGAAAAUGAAAAUAUAAAAGUAGAAAAUCAUAGGAAAGAUGAAAAAAAAAGUAAAAAUAAUUUAUUUAAAAUUUCACCAAAUUAUGAUUCGGAUAGUGAUCAAUGGAUGAUAAUUGACAAUUUAAAGGUAGUUAAAAACAAUAGGGAAUUUUUUUUUUUAUUAUAUACAUGUUCAUAUGGAUUACUGUUCAUGCAGAUUACAUGUUCAUGCA